rnacentral:rRNA from 1 species
AGUGAACGCUGGCGGUAGGCCUAACACAUGCAAGUCGAACGGCAGCACAGUAAGAGCUUGCUCUUACGGGUGGCGAGUGGCGGACGGGUGAGGAAUACAUCGGAAUCUACUUUUUCGUGGGGGAUAACGUAGGGAAACUUACUCUAAUACCGCAUACGACCUACGGUUGAAAUCAGUGGAUCUUCGGACCUUGCGCGUUUUAAUGUGCCGAUGUCGGAUUAGCUAGUUGGCGUGGUAAAGGCCCACCAAGUCGACGAUCCGUAGCUGGUCUGAGAGGAUGAUCAGCCACACUGGAACGGAGACACGGUCCAGACUCCUACGGGAGGCAGCAGUGGGGAAUAUUGGACAAAGGGCGCAAGCAUGAUCCAGCAAUACCGCGUGGGUGAAGAAGGCCUUCGGGUUGUAAAGCCCUUUUGUUGGGAAAGAAAAGCAGCAGGUUAAUACCCCGCUGUUCUGACGGUACCCAAAGAAUAAGCACCGGCUAACUUCGUG